UCCCUGGUGGUCUAGUGGCUAAGACUCCACUCUUCUGAAGCAGGGGCCUGGGUUCAAUCCCUGGUCAGGGAA
rnacentral:tRNA from 1 species